AUGGCAACGGCCCAGCUCCGCGGAUCGGCGGUGCCCGGGACGGCGAGGAGGUGGCCGGCUCCCUCCGGCGCCAUCCUCCGCUUCGGGCCGCUCGCCACGUCCAGGCUCCCGGCAGCGUCGCUUCGUCGGAGGGGAGCCUUCAGUGGCCUUUCCGCUAGUGUCGUCAGGGAGCUUAUCGCCUUGCAGUCAUUGACUACAAUGUGCAUGAAGUCAAAAUGUACUAGCACUCCCAUUGAUCAUGCCACUGCUCCUGAGCAUACAGAAGAUGAAGUUCCCGAGCCAACCUCUGUGGUGACUGGUGAAGAGAUAAAUAUAGACCAGGAAGUUGCUCCGCCACAUAAGAGUGCCAUAAUACAUGAUUUCUGCUUAGGGAUCCCUUUUGGUGGAUUAUUAUUUUCCAUGGGCCUUGUUGGAUUUCUAUUUUGGAGGAGUCCUGUAAGUCUUACUUUUGGCGUUGCACCUGGUCUUGCUAUAUUGGGACUUGCCGUGCUUAGUCUUAAGGGUUGGAGGAGUGGAAAGUCCAGCUUGCCAUUUAUACUGGCACAAGCAGCUGUUGCUGCUGCUGUAGCAUGGAAGCACUGCCAGGCGUAUGCCACAACAAAGAAGCUGCUUCCCUGGGGCUUUUAUACUGCGCUCAGUGCCUUGAUGAUCUGCUUCUACUCGUACGUGUUGCUUGCCGGGGGGAAUCCACCACCAAAGAAGAAGCCAGCAGCUGCUAUAUAA
rnacentral:rRNA from 1 species